UGGUUCAGUGGUAGAAUGCUCGGAUGCAACGCGGGCGGCCCGGGUUCGAUUCCCGG
rnacentral:tRNA from 1 species